AUAUUACUAAGCGGAGGAAAAGAAAUCAACGAAGAUUGCCUCAGUAGCGGCGAGUGAAGCGGCAAGAGCUCAAGUUUAGAAUCUGUGGCCGCCUCGGUCACCGAAUUGUAAUCUAAAGGGGCUAACAAAAGUGGAAGUAGAGGUAUAAGUUCCUUGGAAAAGGACGUCAAAGAGGGUGAAAACCCCGUAUGUAGCCUCUACUGAAGCGAAUGUUGACCUUCUGAGAGUCGGGUUGUUUGGGAUUGCAGCCCUAAAUGGGAGAUAAACUUCUUCUAAGGCUAAAUAUUUAUGGGAAACCGAUAGCGAACAAGUACUGUGAAGGAAAGGUGAAAAGAACUUUGAAAAGAGGGUUAAAAGACUUGAAAUCGUUGAGAAGGAAGCGGUAAAAGUGGAUUUAAGUUAGUUAUGAAGCAAGUCAUGUAUGGAACCAGCUCGUAGUAGGUAUGUACGUCAUUGGCUAACUGCUACGAAGUAAUGGCACAUUAUGGCGAUUUCA
rnacentral:rRNA from 1 species